rnacentral:rRNA from 1 species
UACGUAGGGUGCAAGCGUUAAUCGGAAUUACUGGGCGUAAAGCGUGCGCAGGCGGCUUUGCAAGACAGAUGUGAAAUCCCCGGGCUUAACCUGGGAACUGCAUUUGUGACUGCACAGCUGGAGUGCGGCAGAGGGGGGAUGGAAUUCCGCGUGUAGCAGUGAAAUGCGUAGAUAUGCGGAGGAACACCGAUGGCGAAGGCAAUCCCCUGGGCCUGCACUGACGCUCAUGCACGAAAGCGUGGGGAGC